UNUACCCGCUGGAACUUAAGCAUAUCAAUAAGCGGAGGAAAAGAAACUAACAAGGAUUCCCCUAGUAACGGCGAGUGAAGAGGGAAAAGCUCAAAUUUUGAAUCUGGUGUCUUUGACUCCCGAGUUGUAAUCUAUAGAAGUGUUUUCCGUGUCGGACCGUGCACAAGUUCCCUGGAACGGGGCGUCAUAGAGGGUGAGAAUCCCGUAUAUGGCACGGACCGCCGAUGCUUUUGUGAUACACUCUCAACGAGUCGAGUUGUUUGGGAAUGCAGCUCAAAAUGGGUGGUAAAUUCCAUCUAAAGCUAAAUAUUGGCGAGAGACCGAUAGCGAACAAGUACCGUGAGGGAAAGAUGAAAAGCACUUUGGAAAGAGAGUGAAACAGUACGUGAAAUUGUUGAAAGGGAAACACUUGA
rnacentral:rRNA from 1 species